rnacentral:lncRNA from 10 species
GGCUGCCUCUGCCUCUGCUACUCUUCCUGACUUGCCAUUGCCUCCUCUGGCAAACUCAGCAAGCAGGACUCAGCUCAACCAUCUCUGCCUCGGAGAAGCCUUUCUUCAUUUCCCCAGACAGAGGAGGUCUCUCUUCUUCCUUACCCCUGUGGUACUUUAUGCUAAGUCAUAGUGUGAAAACUUCCAUUUGGAAAUCUGGGAGCAGUUCUUAAGUCAAAAAACAGACCUGGAAUCACAGUAUCCAUACAUACCAGUUGGAGGACAAAAGACAUUGCCCCAGAGACCAGAGGCACCAAAAUACACUACACCUAGCUACCUGAGAAUGCCUCUAGCUGGCAACUCCAGCAAAGGCCCUUUUCCCCAUCCUUGACCAUCUUGAGUGAAAGCAAAGAACUGAAAGAUUGAAAAAUCUGAGACUGAGCGUUCCUUCCUGGAGAGACUCGUACCAUAUCAACCAGAUUGGAUAUGUAUUUAUUUUUCUUUUCUGCCAUUCAGCAUGUGGCAAAGACCCAUUUAGUUAUAAACAAAAUAAAAGAGGUUGUAUUUAUAAAAUUUUGCACAUCUAAGUUGUAGUAUGUAUUAAGUUUGUAUCCUUGUUAUAUGUGAUUCCCUGCUGUGGCCCAGCAGAUAAUAUAAACACUGUAUUUUAUAGACCCCAAAUUUAAUACUGGAAUCUUAAGCAAACAAAGUCUUUCUCACACAUUUUAUCGUAUUUGUCACUAAAAGUCCUUUGUCUCCAGAACAUCAAUCUGGGUACUGUUCCUAAGAACCCAAUUGGUACAACUUUUUGGAGUUAAUAAAAUUGUAUUCCCACUGGUUUCCAUUGCUGUUUUGUGCACAAUUCCCCACUGAGUAUUUGAUGAAUUUCUACUCCUUGGGGGCCCCAUUUUUUGUGUGAGUUUGCUGAGGAUCCAUGCGUCUUGUCACAGGGAGGAAGAUGAUUUCCUCUGAUAACAUUCCCCUGGUACCUGAGGAGCUUAUCACAGCCCUUUAUUUGGCUGUUUCUGUUAUGUUGGCAUGCGUCCAGAGCAAUGGGAAAGAAAAGGUUGUGCUUUUACAGGGAACAUUUUAUUCCCUCUUGGGAAAAGUGAACAUGACUCAAUGUCAGGAAGGGAAAUUUUUCAUUCAGAUAAAGAGAAUGAACAUCCGCCUACCUCUUUUAAUAGUUAAAACACAUUUACGGUCCGUUUGCAUUUUGUUUUCUUGAAGAGCUCAAAUUAUUUUAGAAAAUCUGAUUUAUUGAAACCAGACCUGCACCAGCUUGUUUUGUGUGUGAAGAGGGA